rnacentral:rRNA from 1 species
GACGAACCGUCCAAACGUUGUUCGGAAUCACUGGGCUUAAAGGGCGCGUAGGCGGACUGCCAAGUCCGGGGUGAAAUCUUUCGGCUUAACCGGAAAAGGGCCUUGGAAACUGGCGGUCUCGAGGGAGGUAGGGGCCUGUGGAACUUCGGGUGGAGCGGUGAAAUGCGCAGAUAUCAGGAAGAACACCCGUGGCGAAGGCGGCUCUCUGGGACGGUACUGACGCUGAGACGCGAAAGCGUGGGGAGCGAACAGG